rnacentral:rRNA from 1 species
AAAGCUCGUAGUUGAAUUUUUAAGAGAAUCAAUUGUAUGUGUUCGUUCUGAAUUACAAUGAAUGUUGAUUACUCUUAUUUGCUCUUUUCCAGUGUUGGAAUUCAGUUUUUGACAGUUAAUGAAGUGUUUAUUUACUUUGAGAAAAUUUGUGUGUUCUAAGCAGUCGUACGACUGUAUCCUAAAGCAUGGAAUAAUAAGUAAUGACUUUGAUCAAUUUCUGAUGGUUUGAGAGAUAUUGUAAUGAUUUAUAGAGUUUGUCGGAGGUAUUAGUAUUUUGUCGUUAGAGGUGAAAUUCUGGGAUCGUCAAAAGACUAACAACUGUGUAAGCAAUUACCUAGGAUUUUCUUCUUGAUCAAGAACGUAAGUUGAGGGAUCGAAGACGAUCAGAUACCGUCGUAGUCUCAACUUUAAACGAUAUCAGCUAGGGAUUAGUAAAUGUUUAUAUGACUUUGUUAGAACCUUAUGAGAAAUCAAAGCGUUUGGAUUCCGGGGGGAGUAUGGUCGCAAGGCUGAAACUUAAAGGAAUUGACGGAAGGGCACCACAAGAUGUGGAUCCUGUGGCUUAAUUUGACUCAACACUGGGAAACUUACCAGGUCCAGACAUAGGUAAGAU